UUAAGUUAUUAAGGGCGCACGGUGGAUGCCUUGGCACUAGAAGCCGAUGAAGGACGUUACUAACGACGAUAUGCUUUGGGGAGCUGUAAGUAAGCUUUGAUCCAGAGAUUUCCGAAUGGGGAAACCCAGCAUGAGUUAUGUCAUGUUAUCGAUAUGUGAAUACAUAGCAUAUCAGAAGGCACACCCGGAGAACUGAAACAUCUUAGUACCCGGAGGAAGAGAAAGAAAAUUCGAUUCCCUUAGUAGCGGCGAGCGAAACGGGAAGAGCCCAAACCAACAAGCUUGCUUGUUGGGGUUGUAGGACACUCUAUACGGAGUUACAAAGGACGACAUUAGACGAAUCAUCUGGAAAGAUGAAUCAAAGAAGGUAAUAAUCCUGUAGUCGAAAAUGUUGUCUCUCUUGAGUGGAUCCUGAGUACGACGGAGCACGUGAAAUUCCGUCGGAAUCUGGGAGGACCAUCUCCUAAGGCUAAAUACUCUCUAGUGACCGAUAGUGAACCAGUACCGUGAGGGAAAGGUGAAAAGCACCCCGGAAGGGGAGUGAAAUAGAACCUGAAACCGUGUGCUUACAAGUAGUCAGAGCCCGUUAAUGGGUGAUGGCGUGCCUUUUGUAGAAUGAACCGGCGAGUUACGAUUUGAUGCAAGGUUAAGCAGUAAAUGUGGAGCCGUAGCGAAAGCGAGUCUGAAUAGGGCGUUUAGUAUUUGGUCGUAGACCCGAAACCAGGUGAUCUACCCUUGGUCAGGUUGAAGUUCAGGUAACACUGAAUGGAGGACCGAACCGACUUACGUUGAAAAGUGAGCGGAUGAACUGAGGGUAGCGGAGAAAUUCCAAUCGAACCUGGAGAUAGCUGGUUCUCUCCGAAAUAGCUUUAGGGCUAGCCUCAAGUGAUGAUUAUUGGAGGUAGAGCACUGUUUGGACGAGGGGCCCCUCUCGGGUUACCGAAUUCAGACAAACUCCGAAUGCCAAUUAAUUUAACUUGGGAGUCAGAACAUGGGUGAUAAGGUCCAUGUUCGAAAGGGAAACAGCCCAGACCACCAGCUAAGGUCCCAAAAUAUAUGUUAAGUGGAAAAGGAUGUGGCGUUGCCCAGACAACUAGGAUGUUGGCUUAGAAGCAGCCAUCAUUUAAAGAGUGCGUAAUAGCUCACUAGUCGAGUGACACUGCGCCGAAAAUGUACCGGGGCUAAACAUAUUACCGAAGCUGUGGAUUGUCCUUUGGACAAUGGUAGGAGAGCGUUCUAAGGGCGUUGAAGCAUGAUCGUAAGGACAUGUGGAGCGCUUAGAAGUGAGAAUGCCGGUGUGAGUAGCGAAAGAUGGGUGAGAAUCCCGUCCACCGAUUGACUAAGGUUUCCAGAGGAAGGCUCGUCCGCUCUGGGUUAGUCGGGUCCUAAGCUGAGGCCGACAGGCGUAGGCGAUGGAUAACAGGUUGAUAUUCCUGUACCACCUAUAAUCGUUUUAAUCGAUGGGGGGACGCAGUAGGAUAGGCGAAGCGUGCGAUUGGAUUGCACGUCUAAGCAGUAAGGCUGAGUAUUAGGCAAAUCCGGUACUCGUUAAGGCUGAGCUGUGAUGGGGAGAAGACAUUGUGUCUUCGAGUCGUUGAUUUCACACUGCCGAGAAAAGCCUCUAGAUAGAAAAUAGGUGCCCGUACCGCAAACCGACACAGGUAGUCAAGAUGAGAAUUCUAAGGUGAGCGAGCGAACUCUCGUUAAGGAACUCGGCAAAAUGACCCCGUAACUUCGGGAGAAGGGGUGCUCUUUAGGGUUAACGCCCAGAAGAGCCGCAGUGAAUAGGCCCAAGCGACUGUUUAUCAAAAACACAGGUCUCUGCUAAACCGUAAGGUGAUGUAUAGGGGCUGACGCCUGCCCGGUGCUGGAAGGUUAAGAGGAGUGGUUAGCUUCUGCGAAGCUACGAAUCGAAGCCCCAGUAAACGGCGGCCGUAACUAUAACGGUCCUAAGGUAGCGAAAUUCCUUGUCGGGUAAGUUCCGACCCGCACGAAAGGCGUAACGAUUUGGGCACUGUCUCAACGAGAGACUCGGUGAAAUCAUAGUACCUGUGAAGAUGCAGGUUACCCGCGACAGGACGGAAAGACCCCGUGGAGCUUUACUGUAGCCUGAUAUUGAAAUUCGGCACAGCUUGUACAGGAUAGGUAGGAGCCUUUGAAACGUGAGCGCUAGCUUACGUGGAGGCGCUGGUGGGAUACUACCCUAGCUGUGUUGGCUUUCUAACCCGCACCACUUAUCGUGGUGGGAGACAGUGUCAGGCGGGCAGUUUGACUGGGGCGGUCGCCUCCUAAAAGGUAACGGAGGCGCUCAAAGGUUUCCUCAGAAUGGUUGGAAAUCAUUCAUAGAGUGUAAAGGCAUAAGGGAGCUUGACUGCGAGACCUACAAGUCGAGCAGGGUCGAAAGACGGACUUAGUGAUCCGGUGGUUCCGCAUGGAAGGGCCAUCGCUCAACGGAUAAAAGCUACCCCGGGGAUAACAGGCUUAUCUCCCCCAAGAGUUCACAUCGACGGGGAGGUUUGGCACCUCGAUGUCGGCUCAUCGCAUCCUGGGGCUGUAGUCGGUCCCAAGGGUUGGGCUGUUCGCCCAUUAAAGCGGUACGCGAGCUGGGUUCAGAACGUCGUGAGACAGUUCGGUCCCUAUCCGUCGUGGGCGUAGGAAAUUUGAGAGGAGCUGUCCUUAGUACGAGAGGACCGGGAUGGACAUACCUCUGGUGUACCAGUUGUCGUGCCAACGGCAUAGCUGGGUAGCUAUGUGUGGACGGGAUAAGUGCUGAAAGCAUCUAAGCAUGAAGCCCCCCUCAAGAUGAGAUUUCCCAACUUCGGUUAUAAGAUCCCUCAAAGAUGAUGAGGUUAAUAGGUUCGAGGUGGAAGCAUGGUGACAUGUGGAGCUGACGAAUACUAAUCGAUCGAAGACUUAAUCAA
rnacentral:rRNA from 1 species